GAUGAACGCUGGCGGCGUGCCUAAUACAUGCAAGUCGAACGCUGGAACUCUAGCUUGCUAGAUUGAAGGAGUGGCGAACGGGUGAGUAAUACAUAAGCAACCUACCCACGAAGACUGGGAUAAUCUCUGGAAACGGGGACUAAUACCGGAUAGGUAAUCGGAAGGCAUCUUCUGAUUAUUAAAGGUUACAAACACUGGUGGAUGGGCUUAUGGCGCAUUAGUUAGUUGGUGAGGUAACGGCCCACCAAGACGAUGAUGCGUAGCCGGCCUGAGAGGGUGAACGGCCACAUUGGGACUGAGACACGGCCCAGACUCCUACGGGAGGCAGCAGUAGGGAAGUUUCGGCAAUGGGGGAAACCCUGACCGAGCAACGCCGCGUGAGUGAUGACGGCCUUCGGGUUGUAAAGCUCUGUUGUAAGGGAAGAACGGUAGAUAGAGAAUAUCUAAAUGACGGUACCUGACCAGAAAGCCACGGCUAACUACGUG
rnacentral:rRNA from 1 species